GACGAACGCUGGCGGCGUGCUUAACACAUGCAAGUCGAACGAAGUGCCGAACGGUUGAGUAUUACGUGGGUAACCUGCCCUCCUUUUUGGGAUAAGCCUUGGAAACGGGGUCUAACACCGAAUAAAGGGGGAUGGGCUCGCGGCCUAUCAGCUGGUUGGUGGGGUGAUGGCCUACCAAGGCGGUGACGGUUAGCCGGCCUGAGAGGGUGACCGGCAACAUUGGAACUGAGAAGCGGCCCACACUCGUACGAGGGGCAGCAGUGGGGGAUAUUGCAGAAUGGGCGAAAGCCUGAUGCAGCGACGCCGCGUGAGGGAUGAAGGCGUUAGGGUUGUAAACCUGUUUCGCUAUCGAAGCGGUAGGUGGAGAAGAAGCGCCGGCUAACUACGUGCCAGCAGCCGCGGUAAUAC
rnacentral:rRNA from 1 species